UUACAUUAAUUGAUAAAAUAUCAUAUUUGAUUUCGACUCAAAUUUAGGAAAAUCCAAUGUGUU
rnacentral:tRNA from 1 species